rnacentral:RNase_P_RNA from 15 species
CAAGUUGGUCAGGCAGUCGCUGUAAUGCUGUUUCAGUGUUAUGGAGGAAAGUCCGGGCUUCGCAGGGUAAGGUGCCAGGUAACGCCUGGGGGGCGCGAGUCUACGGAAAGUGCAGCAGAAAAAAUACCGCCUAAGCAGUUUACUGCCGGUAAGGUUGAAAUGGUGCGGUAAGAGCGCACCGCGCAUCUGGUAACAGUAUGUGGCAAGGUAAACCCCACCUGAAGCAAGACCAAAUAGGAAUCCAUUGGCGUGACCCGCGCUGGAUUCGGGUAGGUCGCUAGAGGCAUGUAGCGAUACAUGUUCGAGAGGAAUGACUGUCCACGACAGAACCCGGCUUAUCGACCAACUUGCAAU